CCGUUUUAGUCGGGGUGCUGCUUAGCAGCUGAGAUAAUACCCGUGAACCUGAUACAGUUAACACUGACGUAGGAAACUAAUUAUGCACACCA
rnacentral:ncRNA from 1 species